CAACAGUGCGAGAAUUUCCUUGGUAUUACUUUUCUCUAGUCUGUGGGUCACCCGCCCGGUGGGUAUAGGGCUUGAUUUUCCUAUGAUUGCCUCCCUCUUACCAUCUUGCUGUGGCUUCUUCUCUGUGUCUGCAUGUGGGGUGUCUUUUUUGGUGGAUUCCAGCAUCUUCCUGCCAACAGUUGUUCAACAGCUAGGUUUUUGCUCUUGCAGGAGGUGAGUGCAUGUCCUUCUACUCUGCCAUCCUGAACCAGAAGGAACAUAUAUUUUUUAAAAGAGGAGAAAUCAAGGAGAUUUCAAGCAAGAGAAACUCUUUUCUCUCACUGUUCUAGCUAACAGACUUACAAUAUGAUCACUAAUAUCUUCCAUGAAAUUCCAUUGCCAUAAUCUUUAGUUUUCAUCACUAUGUGAAUGCUCUUUUCUUGUUAAUUUAAAUACCUUUCCAUAAGAUUUGCCUCAAUUGUCUCCCCCAUGAAACCCUAUGCAGGCCAAUUUAACUGCCAGAUUAUUCUUUUCUUCAUCUGAAAUGCCUUCAGUUCUCACAGACGAAGUUGACAGCAUACCACCUUGGACGUCUCUACUUGCCCGAUGGUCACUCCUCAACUGUGCCGGAAAUGGGCCAUCUAUUCUAAAAUUUACAGUAAAAUACAAGAGACCCAGAUAGUUUAAACAGUCUUGAAAACCAACAAAGAUGGACUCACAUCUGUCAAUUUCAAAACUUACUACAAAGUUACAGUAUUCAAGACAAUGUGGUCCUGGCAUAAGGAUAGAGGUGUAGGGCACUGGAAGAUAAUUGAAAGUAUAGUAAAAAAAAAAAAAAAUUACAGUCAACUGAUUUUCAACAAGGAUUCCAAGAAUAUUUAACAUAGAAAAAUCAACCUUUUUGACUAACUGUUCUAGCACAACUGGCUACUCAUAUGCUGUAGAAUGAAGAAAGGCCGCGAUCUCAUGCCAUAUACAAAAAUUAAUUCCAUAUGGUUACAGACCUCAGUGCAAAACUGUAAAACUCUUAGAAGAAACCAUAAAAGAAGGCAGAUGCAUAACUUUGUAACUUUGGAUUAGGCAAUGGUUUCUUACAUAUGACACUAAAAACACAAGAAUAAGAUACAUGCACAUAUACAUACAUAUAACUUCAUCAAUUUAAAAAAAAUUGUGUUUCAAAAGACAUUAACAAAAAAGUUAAAAGAUAGCCCAUGGAAUGGGAGAAAAUACUUGCAAAUCAUACAUCUGAUAAAGGACUAGUAUCUAGAAUAUAAAAGACCUCUUACAACUCAACAAUAAAAAGACAAAAUUGAAAAACGAGCA
rnacentral:lncRNA from 1 species